GACAAAAGCAUGGAUUAAUUUUUCUGCAUAAUUUUUGCAAUGUUACGUAGAUGGAAAAAAGCUGUCCUUGAAACAGUCUUGAUAUGUUCGUCAAAAGAGAGAUCAGGGUCCAGAGUAACACCGAGGUCCUUCACAGUUUUAUUUGAGACGACUGUACAACCAUCAAGAUUCAUUGUCAGAUUCAACAGAAGAUCUCUUUGUUUCUUGGGACCUAGAACAAGCAUCUCUGUUUUGUCCGAGUUUAAAAGUAGAAAGUUUGCAGCCAUCCACUUCCUUAUGUCUGAAACACAGGCUUCCAGGGAGGGCAAUUUUGGGGCUUCACCAUGUUUCAUCGAAAUGUACAGCUGUGUGUCAUCCGCAUAGCAGUGAAAGUUAAAAUUAUGUUUCCGAAUGCAAUUGUCAAACGCAAUUGUUUCCAACAGUUUUCUAAGAGCUGGCAGCAAGCUGAUAGUUCUGUUGUUAGAACCAGUAAAGGCCGCUUUACCACUCUUGUGUAGCGGAAUGACUUUGGCUUCCCUCCAGGCCUGAAGACAGACUUUCCUCUAGGCUCAGAUUAAAGAUAUGACAGAUGUGAGGAAUGGCUAUAGAGUCAGCUGCCAUCCUCAGUAGCUUUCCAUCUGCACUGAACAAAAAUAUAAAUGCAACAUGUAAAGUGUUGUUUUCAUGAGCUGAAACUAGGGACACAGUUUUGUCACACAACAUCACAGAUGUCUCAAGUUUUGAGGGAGCGUACAAUUGGCAUGCUGAAUGCAGGAAUGUCCACCAGAGCUGUUGCCAGAGAAUUUAAUGUUAAUUUCACUACCAUAAGCUGGCUCCAAUGUUGUUUUAGAGAAUUUGGUAGUAUGUUCAACCGGCAUUACAAUGGCAGACCAUGUGUAACCACACCAUCCCAGGACCUCCACAUCCGGUUUCUUCACCUGCAGGAUUGUCUGAGGGGGGGAACUCAGUAAAAUCUUUGAAAUUGUUGCAUGUUGCAUUUAUAUUUUGGUUCAGUAUAAAUAGCCUACCUACAACUGGUAAAAAAGUUGUUUCCGUGACUUAGCUGCAACACUCUCAACCAGUGCUCUCAACGCACACACACUCACCCAUUCACUCAGCAACAGCCUGCUCACUGCCUGAUAGUCAGCAGGAUGUAACAGUGAAAUAUACAGUACCAGUCAAAAGAAUCUCAAAUAUAAAAUAUAUUUUGAUUUGUUUAACACUUUUUGUUACUACAUGAUUCCAUAUGUGUUAUUUCAUAGUUUUGACGUCUUCACUAUUAUUCUACGAUGUAGAAAAUAGUAAAAAUAAAGAAAAAACCCUUGAAUGACUAGGUGUGUCCAAACUUUUGAAUGGUACUGUAUAUUUUGCAUAAACACUCCACCCUUAGGAUUGUUCAGCAUGUCAACAACCAUUUCAACAGUAACAUCUGUUAACCCCAAUAUCUCUUUUGCCAUUUCCACAAUAACCUUCAACCUGGCAAUUAUGCUUUCCACAACCCGAGUCGUAUUGAUAACCUUACUAAUAUAAGCUAUGAUGUCAAAUUUAUUCAAUAAUACAGUGUCCUUUGACACCAAACAUUCAUGAACAAGAUUUCUGAACAGGCCUUGAAACCAUGACAUCAGAAGCAUCAGCCCUGACAGCAGGUUCACUUACUACAGGUACAUCCAUGUCAGAUCCAUCAGCCUAACAGUAGGUCCACUAACUACAGGUACAUCCAUGUCAGAUCCAUCAGCCUAACAGUAGGUCCACUUACUACAGGUACAUCCAUGUCAGAUCCAUCAGCCUGACAGUAGGUCCACUUACUACAGGUACAUCCAUGUCAGAUCCAUCAGCCUGACAGUAGGUCCACUAACUACAGGUACAUCCAUGUCAGAUCCAUCAGCCUAACAGUAGGUCCACUUACUACAGGUACAUCCAUGUCAGAUCCAUCAGUCUGACAGUAGGUCCACUUACUACAGGUACAUCCAUGUAAGAUCCAUCAGCCUAACAGUAGGUCCACUUACUACAGGUACAUCCAUGUCAGAUCCAUCAGUCUGACAGUAGGUCCACUUACUACAGGUACAUCCAUGUCAGAUCCAUCAGUCUGACAGUAGGUCCACUUACUACAGGUACAUCCAUGUCAGAUCCAUCAGCCUAACAGUAGGUCCACUAACUACAGGUACAUCCAUGUCAGAUCCAUCAGUCUGACAGUAGGUCCACUUACUACAGGUACAUCCAUGUCAGAUCCAUCAGCCUAACAGUAGGUCCACUAACUACAGGUACAUCCAUGUCAGCUCCAUCAGCCUGACAGCAGGUCCACUAACUACAGGUACAUCCAUGUCAGAUCCAUCAGUCUGACAGCAGGUCCGACAGGUACAUACAUCCAUGUCACGACAGGUACAUACAUCCAUGUCAGAUCCAUCAGUCUGCACUGUAGUUCUACCUAUCUGUUUUAUGGCCUCAAGACUGAUCCUAUAUCUCUGAGCCUCUCUAGCCUCUCUCUGUACCUGGCAUCCACCAAAUGCUGCACUGUGUUCUCCCCCACAUUUACAGCACUUAACAUUCACAUUGCUUCCGUUCACCAUAAUCAUGUUCUCCUCCACACUUGACAAAUAUUUUCUUUCCUUUACAUUGAGCAGCUACAUGUCCCAUUCUUUGGCAUUUAAAACAAUGCAGUGCAUAUGGGACAAAUUCUCUAACAUUGAAACUAAGGAAUCCUAUCUGUACUUUUCCCGGCAAGACUUUCUCAAACCUCAGCAUAAGCUUUCACUUCUUUGACUGCAUCUCUCUUCUUCCUGUGUAUUUCUCUAUCAUGAUCUCUCUUCUUCCUGUGUCUUUCUGUAUCGUGAUCUCUUCUUCCUGUGUCUUUCUGUGUCGUGAUCUCUCUUCUUCCUGUCUUUAUCAUGAUCUCUCUUCUUCCUGUCUUUACACUACCGACUAUUCCAGCCCUUGACCCUCAUCCUCCCGCUCCACACCAUCAGAAGUGACAGCCAUAUUGUUCUCAUUCCAG
rnacentral:lncRNA from 1 species